UAGGGAGUCUGGACUCUGGAUGUGGCGUAUAUGCCCUUUCAAAGGGAAAUAUAAAGCACUCAGGAGGACACCCACUUGGGAGCCGGGUCUCUCUUACUGUCAGCGAAUACGGCAUGGUGGGGCUUGU
rnacentral:sRNA from 1 species